GGGGAAUAUUGCACAAUGGGCGAAAGCCUGAUGCAGCAACGCCGCGUGAAGGAUGAAGGGUUUCGGCUCGUAAACUUCUAUCAAUAGGGACGAAAAAAAUGACGGUACAUAAAUAAGAAGCCCCGGCUAACUACGUGACAGCAGCCGCGGUAAUACGUAGGGGGCAAGCGUUAUCCGGAAUUACUGGGUGUAAAGGGAGAGUAGGCGGCAUGGUAAGUUAGAUGUGAAAGCCCGGGGCUUAACCUCGGGAUUGCAUUUAAAACUAUCAAGCUAGAGUACAGGAGAGGUAAGUGGAAUUCCUAGUGUAGCGGUGAAAUGCGUAGAUAUUAGGAAGAACAUCAGUGGCGAAGGCGGCCUACUGGGCACCAACUGACGCUGAGGCUCGAAAGUAUGGGUAGCAAAC
rnacentral:rRNA from 1 species